UCUCUUUGUACGCGUGUCUGCCGCGUUGUUGUGUGCUCGUCCUUGGGCCUGCAUCCUUGCCUUGUCUCUGGCUUUGCUCCCUCCGUGGAGGUCGCGCAGCAGGUCUCUGAUCCGCGCCGGCGGGACCCAGGGCCACGAUGGGGUUUGAGGACACCCGCUGGCUGCUUUCUCCUGAAGGAAGAGUGAGUUCUGAAGACUACACUGAGGCCUGGUUCCCUCAUCUAGAUUAUGAGCUGACCUGAGAACCCAGCCUAAGGUGGAAUCUACUUAUAAGUGGUCCAGCAUGGUGUGAUUGUGCCUGCCCGGUCAUGCUGGUGUCUGAGAGCGAACCCUUUCUCCUUGCUGUGGCGGAUUUGCUGCUACAGAGGCUGACAUGGAUCCUGAGAAUUUUGUUUAUUGUGUCAGCAGCUGUGAGUGCUGGACCACAUCAGCUAAACAAGGUGGCAUCUGUCUGUUUACCCAGAGUGGAGCAGCGUUUCUCUUGAAGAGUUUGGGCAAUGUAAUGAAACUUGUCUCCCUGAAAUGUUUUACAUACUGUCUUGUCUUGGCUUUCUCUGAAAGUCUAAUAAAAUACUUGAACACCGAA